AUGUUCAUUCAGGCCGUAGGAAAGCGUGGAUUCGACCCCCCUUGGGAGCAGCAAAAAUCCAAGUUGAUGGUGGAUUAUGAAGGAACAGCAAUAGGGGAGCAUCUGCAGCUGUGUGCAAGGAUCAUAUGUGAAAAAAAAUUAGGCUCGUCCGCCAUGGUUUUUCCUGGAAUUAUUGGCCCAGCAACACUAGAGGCUCUCACCUGUAGAGAGGCCUUGGCUCUGGCACUUGAUCUUUCUUUGCAAAAAAAUUGUUGUUUCAUGCGACCGCAAAUCGAUUGUCUCAGAGAUAAAAGAAGGCACUGGUGUCGGAUGUGGGGUUCUGGCAAACCCUUAAGGUUCGAACACUGGGGUGUGCGCGAGGUCUUUUCCUCACACCGAUCUAUGCUCUAG
rnacentral:rRNA from 1 species